GGUGACUGCGUACCUUUUGUAUAAUGGGUCAGCGACUUAUAUUCUGUAGCAAGGUUAACCGUAUAGGGGAGCCGAAGGGAAACCGAGUCUUAACUGGGCGUUAAGUUGCAGGGUAUAGACCCGAAACCCGGUGAUCUAGCCAUGGGCAGGUUGAAGGUUGGGUAACACUAACUGGAGGACCGAACCGACUAAUGUUGAAAAAUUAGCGGAUGACUUGUGGCUGGGGGUGAAAGGCCAAUCAAACCGGGAGAUAGCUGGUUCUCCCCGAAAGCUAUUUAGGUAGCGCCUCGUGAAUUCAUCUUCGGGGGUAGAGCACUGUUUCGGCUAGGGGGUCAUCCCGACUUACCAACCCGAUGCAAACUGCGAAUACCGAAGAAUGUUAUCACGGGAGACACACGGCGGGUGCUAACGUCCGUCGUGAAGAGGGAAACAACCCAGACCGCCAGCUAAGGUCCCAAAGUCAUGGUUAAGUGGGAAACGAUGUGGGAAGGCACAGACAGCCAGGAUGUUGGCUUAGAAGCAGCCAUCAUUUAAAGAAAGCGUAAUAGCUCACUGGUCGAGUCGGCCUGCGCGGAAGAUGUAACGGGGCUAAACCAUGCACCGAAGCUGCGGCAGCGACACUAUGUGUUGUUGGGUAGGGGAGCGUUCUGUAAGCCGUUGAAGGUGUAUCGUGAGGUAUGCUGGAGGUAUCAGAAGUGCGAAUGCUGACAUAAGUAACGAUAAUGCGGGUGAAAAACCCGCACGCCGGAAGACCAAGGGUUCCUGUCCAACGUUAAUCGGGGCAGGGUGAGUCGACCCCUAAGGCGAGGCCGAAAGGCGUAGUCGAUGGGAAACAGGUUAAUAUUCCUGUACUUGGUGUUACUGCGAAGGGGGGACGGAGAAGGCUAUGUUAGCCGGGCGACGGUUGUCCCGGUUUAAGCAUGUAGGCGGAGGUUCCAGGUAAAUCCGGUACCUUUUUAACGCUGAGGUGUGAUGACGAGGCACUACGGUGCUGAAGUAACAAAUGCCCUGCUUCCAGGAAAAGCCUCUAAGCAUCAGGUAACACGAAAUCGUACCCCAAACCGACACAGGUGGUCAGGUAGAGAAUACCAAGGCGCUUGAGAGAACUCGGGUGAAGGAACUAGGCAAAAUGGUGCCGUAACUUCGGGAGAAGGCACGCUGAUAUGUAGGUGAAGUGAUUUACUCAUGGAGCUGAAAUCAGUCGAAGAUACCAGCUGGCUGCAACUGUUUAUUAAAAACACAGCACUGUGCAAACACGAAAGUGGACGUAUACGGUGUGACGCCUGCCCGGUGCCGGAAGGUUAAUUGAUGGGGUUAUCCGUAAGGAGAAGCUCUUGAUCGAAGCCCCGGUAAACGGCGGCCGUAACUAUAACGGUCCUAAGGUAGCGAAAUUCCUUGUCGGGUAAGUUCCGACCUGCACGAAUGGCGUAAUGAUGGCCAGGCUGUCUCCACCCGAGACUCAGUGAAAUUGAACUCGCUGUGAAGAUGCAGUGUACCCGCGGCAAGACGGAAAGACCCCGUGAACCUUUACUAUAGCUUGACACUGAACACUGGUCCUUGAUGUGUAGGAUAGGUGGGAGGCUUUGAAGUGUGGACGCCAGUCUGCAUGGAGCCAUCCUUGAAAUACCACCCUUUAAUGGCUGGUGUUCUAACGUGGACCCGUUACCCGGGUUGCGGACAGUGUCUGGUGGGUAGUUUGACUGGGGCGGUCUCCUCCUAAAGAGUAACGGAGGAGCACGAAGGUUAGCUAAUCCUGGUCGGACAUCAGGAGGUUAGUGCAAAGGCAUAAGCUAGCUUGACUGCGAGAGUGACGGCUCGAGCAGGUGCGAAAGCAGGUCUUAGUGAUCCGGUGGUUCUGAAUGGAAGGGCCAUCGCUCAACGGAUAAAAGGUACUCCGGGGAUAACAGGCUGAUACCGCCCAAGAGUUCAUAUCGACGGCGGUGUUUGGCACCUCGAUGUCGGCUCAUCACAUCCUGGGGCUGAAGUAGGUCCCAAGGGUAUGGCUGUUCGCCAUUUAAAGUGGUACGCGAGCUGGGUUUAGAACGUCGUGAGACAGUUCGGUCCCUAUCUGCCGUGGGCGCUGGAGAAUUGAGGGGGGCUGCUCCUAGUACGAGAGGACCGGAGUGGACGCAUCACUGGUGUUCGGGUUGUCAUGCCAAUGGCAUUGCCCGGUAGCUAAAUGCGGAAGAGAUAAGUGCUGAAAGCAUCUAAGCACGAAACUUGCCCCGAGAUGAGUUCUCCCUGAGACUAUAAGUCUCCUGAAGGAACGUUAAAGACGAUGACGUUGAUAGGUCGGGUGUGUAAGUGUAGCGAUACAUUGAGCUAACCGAUACUAAUGAACCGUGAGGCUUAACC
rnacentral:rRNA from 1 species